rnacentral:rRNA from 1 species
AGAGUUUGAUACUGGCUCAGGCUGAACGCUAGCGGCAGGCCUAAUACAUGCAAGUCGAACGGUGUAGCAAUACAUAGUGGCGGACGGGUGCGGAACACGUAUGCAACCUACCUUUUACAGGGAGAUACCUCGGGGAAACUCGGAUCAAUAUCCCAUAAAAUCUGUUCAUGGCAUCAUGGAAAGAUUAAAGCAGCGAUGCGGUAAGAGAUGGGCAUGCGUCCGAUUAGCUAGUUGGUAAGGUAACGGCUUACCAAGGCGACGAUCGGUAGCUGGUCUGAGAGGAUGAUCAGCCACACUGGAACUGAGACACGGUCCAGACUCCUACGGGAGGCAGCAGUAGGGAAUAUUGGGCAAUGGGCGGAAGCCUGACCCAGCCAUGCCGCGUGAAGGAAGAAGGUCCUCUGGAUUGUAAACUUCUUUUGAAUGGGGAUAAUUUUAUGUAUAGGAUAUGUAAAUUGAAGGUACCAUUAGAAUAAGCACCGGCUAACUACGUGCCAGCAGCCGCGGUAAUACGUAGGGUGCAAGCGUUGUCCGGAAUUACUGGGUUUAAAGGGUGCGUAGGCGGUUUGAUAAGUCCUUGGUGAAAUUUUGUAGCUUAACUAUAAACAUGCCAAUGAUACUGUUGAACUAGAGUGGAAUUGAGGUACUUGGAACGAGUGGUGUAGCGGUGAAAUGCAUAGAGAUCACUCAGAACACCAAUUGCGAAGGCAGAGUACUAAAUUUUAACUGACGCUGAGGCACGAAAGUGUGGGGAUCAAACAGGAUUAGAUACCCUGGUAGUCCACACCGUAAACGUUGGAUACUAGUUUUUAGGGAGAAUGAUUCUUAGAGACCAAGGGAAGCCGAUAAGUAUCCCACCUGGGGAGUACGCUCGCAAGGGUGAAACUCAAAGUAAUUGACGGGGGCCCGCACAAGCGGUGGAGCAUGUGGUUUAAUUCGAUGAUACGCGAGGAACCUUACCUGGGCUAGAAUGCCCUUGACCGCAGCCGAAAGGUUGUUUUCCUUCGGGACAAGGUGCAAGGUGCUGCAUGGUUGUCGUCAGCUCGUGCCGUGAGGUGUUGGGUUAAGUCCCGCAACGAGCGCAACCCCUAUUGUUAGUUGCUAACAGGUUAAGCUGAGGACUCUAAUAAGACUGCCGUCGUAAGAUGAGAGGAAGGAGGGGACGACGUCAAAUCAUCAUGGCCCUUACGCCCAGGGCUACACACGUGCUACAAUGGUCGGUACAGAGGGCAGCUAGCUGGUGACAGUGUGCGAAUCUCAAAAGGCCGAUCUCAGUUCGGAUUGGAGUCUGCAACUCGACUCCAUGAAGUUGGAAUCGCUAGUAAUCGCAGAUCAUCAUGCUGCGGUGAAUACGUUCCCGGGCCUUGUACACACCGCCCGUCAAGCCAUGAAAGCUGGGGGCGCCUAAAGUUGGAGAUGAUCUACCUAAGGCAAAACUGGUAAUUGGGGCUAAGUCGAACAAGGUAGCCGUACCGGGAGGUGUG